AUUGAACGCUGGCGGCAUGCCUUACACAUGCAAGUCGAACGGCAGCACGGGAGCAAUCCUGGUGGCGAGUGGCGAACGGGUGAGUAAUAUAUCGGAACGUGCCCAGUCGUGGGGGAUAACGUAGCGAAAGCUACGCUAAUACCGCAUACGAUCUAUGGAUGAAAGCGGGGGAUCGCAAGACCUCGCGCGAUUGGAGCGGCCGAUAUCAGAUUAGGUAGUUGGUGGGGUAAAGGCUCACCAAGCCGACGAUCUGUAGCUGGUCUGAGAGGACGACCAGCCACACUGGGACUGAGACACGGCCCAGACUCCUACGGGAGGCAGCAGUGGGGAAUUUUGGACAAUGGGCGCAAGCCUGAUCCAGCAAUGCCGCGUGCAGGAUGAAGGCCUUCGGGUUGUAAACUGCUUUUGUACGGAGCGAAAAGGCUUCCACUAAUACUGGGGGCUCAUGACGGUACCGUAAGAAUAAGCACCGGCUAACUACGUGCCAGCAGCCGCCGUAAUAC
rnacentral:rRNA from 1 species